AUCCUAUAAUUGAACUUCUUUUAGGGAUUUCCCUUCUUUUAUUUAUUUUUUCUAUAAUUCCUUGUUUGUAGUUUACAAUGAUCUGAAUUAAGGUAGUUGUUUGACUUUAAUCUGGUUGAAUAAAUGCAUGUUUCGUAACAGAUUAACAGAUUUCUGUUGUGUAUGGAUCAUGAGAACAUGCUGAAAAGGCAGGAGUGUCUACUGAUUCCAAUUAAUGGAAUUCCUGUUCCAAAGAAAACUAAUAGGCUUUUAGACUGAAUUUUGGGAUGAUUAACUUCGAACAUAUUUCAUACCAUGUAUGUCUAUCUAUCUUCUGUUUAUUAUUUCUUGUUUCAUAUUCUCGUGUGCAGAG
rnacentral:misc_RNA from 1 species